GGCAAGGUGACCGAGUGGUUAAGGUGGCAGACUCAAGAAAUAGAUCGUAGAUCUUGACUCUUGCUCAGGAUACCUGAGUCUGUAUUCUGCUGGAGCAAUCCGCCAGGGUUCGAAUCCCUGUCUUGUCA